rnacentral:rRNA from 1 species
CAGCAGGGACGAAGCGUAAGUGACGGUACCUGCAGAAGAAGCGCCGGCCAACUACGUGCCAGCAGCCGCGGUAAGACGUAGGGCGCGAGCGUUGUCCGGAUUUAUUGGGCGUAAAGAGCUCGUAGGCGGCUUGUCGCGUCGACUGUGAAAACCCGCGGCUCAACUGCGGGCUUGCAGCCGAUACGGGCAGGCUAGAGUUCGGUAGGGGAGACUGGAAUUCCUGGUGUAGCGGUGAAAUGCGCAGAUAUCAGGAGGAACACCGGUGGCGAAGGCGGGUCUCUGGGCCGAUACUGACGCUGAGGAGCGAAAGCGUGGGGAGCGAACAGGAUUAGAUACCCUGGUAGUCCACGCUGUAAACGUUGGGCGCUAGGUGUGGGGGACCUCUCCGGUCCUCUGUGCCGCAGCUAACGCAUUAAGCGCCCCGCCUGGGGAGUACGGCCGCAAGGCUAAAACUCAAAGGAAUUGACGGGGGCCCGCACAAGCGGCGGAGCAUGCGGAUUAAUUCGAUGCAACGCGAAGAACCUUACCUGGGUUUGACAUCGCCGGAAAUCUCGCAGAGAUGCGGGGUCCUUCGGGGCCGGUGACAGGUGGUGCAUGGCUGUCGUCAGCUCGUGUCGUGA